AAGGAAACCAUGUGAGUCCACUGCUCUCUUUGGAACUCCAUCUACAGAAAACUGCAUGAACGAGGAGCUUCUGACCACAGGAGAUCUGGCAGGAAUUCGUCUGAGAUGGGGGCUCAGUGCUGAGAAUUUGAAGAGAUGAUGGAACCUGAUAGAAUCACAUGCCUGGAUGGAACUUUCAGAGGGCCACGUUGGGGGUGAAGGUUCUGGCUACAUCUCCAUUUGUGGCCUUGAAAUUCCAGCUGAAGUCACCCCAAGGUUCCAUUUCUUCCUCCUGAGAUGAAAAUGGGAAGACCAGCCAAGAAGUUCUGGCCUCAGUGGGGUAGUCUGUGCCUGGUUUGACUUAGAGGAAAUGAACCUGAAUCCUGCAUCAAAGGUGCCAUUUUAUUCUAACAGACAAAAUGUUCUUUCGGUUCCUCUUUACACAGCUGCUCAAAACCCUCCUCCUUCCCAACACCCACCCCAGCAGACCUUAGAUCAUAAAGCCACAACCCCACACGGUGGUUUUUAUCAAAAUGUCUACAACUUUCUGUCAGUUACUAAUGGCUGAGGAUUGGUGAUAUUCAUAGUACCCUCAAAUCCACAUCAAUUAAUUCACUUAACAAGCAUUUAUUAAAUGAGUGCUAUGUUUUCAGCAUUAUGAUAGAUACUGGAGGUACAGAUAUUAAUAGAAUACAGUUCCUGUCCUCAAGGAGGUUCCAUUUUAUAAAUGAGGCUAAUUGAGGAAUUGGUAGAAUCUGGUAUGGGUUGUAAUAGAGUCUGGGUGAGUCUAGGUGGCAUGGUGGAUAGAGUGCUGGGCCUGGAGUCAAAAAAAAAA